rnacentral:rRNA from 1 species
UACGUAGGUGGCAAGCGUUGUCCGGAUUUACUGGGUGUAAAGGGCGUGUAGCCGGGCUGACAAGUCAGAUGUGAAAUCCGGGGGCUCAACCCCCGAACUGCAUUUGGAACUGUGCUGCUAGAGUGUCGGAGAGGCAGGCGGAAUUCCUAGUGUAGCGGUGAAAUGCGUAGAUAUUAGGAGGAACACCAGUGGCGAAGGCGGCCUGCUGGACGAUGACUGACGCUGAGGCUCGAAAGCAUGGGUAGCGAACAGG